CAAUAAAGCAAAAAUCACAAGUGCCAGCCUUGCGCAAAAAAGCCAAGAAUCACGGGGCCCCAGGACUGGAACCCAAAAAACAGGAAGGAAAAGCAGAUCGCUGUAAUUGGUUGAGGAAGAACAUUGGGUUUAGUUUUUCUUUAUCAUGCCACAAUUGAAGUUAAUGCCACAUUUUUAAACAACUUGAGUUCUUUCUUUUCUUUUUUAAGUGGAUUUCAUUCAGAGUUUUAACAUGCCUAUUUUGAAGAGCAUUCCAUGAGUCUUACACCUGAAAGUGCAAAGCAGAUUGAAUAUUUUAAACAAAAAAUAGAGACCAAAAAAGAGAAGUAGGAGAUCUCCCCAGCACUUGAUGUGAGUCAGCCAACUCAAGCACGAAAUCCUCAAUUGUGUGCUUUUCCUUUCCUGACAGAGAGAACACAUUAGGAUAUACAAAGUCCAGGUUUCCUUUACAACAAAUCCUACCAGGAAACUUCCAUGUGAGACUCUUACACAGAGCACAUUGAGUAACAAACUCCAACUGUAGUUUUGCUAAAGGGCUUUCUUUUAUUUAACUUUUAAACAGCCCACUGGGCCCCAAGCCAAGUCCUGACUGAGGAAACCUCCCACCUUGCACCCUGAUUGUACUGUGGGUGAAGAGCUGUGGUUAAGGACAUGCCCCUGAGGGCUCUGCCUUUAUUUUCUUAGAAAGCUUCACCUUGAUGCUAUAUUUGGGCUCUUUGGCUAAUUGAGGCAGUUCAUUCAAAGUUACACUUUCUGGCAUGAGGCAGUUGUGGGUGCUGACAUGAGUUGUCUCAACAUGAUACCAAUUUCCACAGUCAAUUUGGUCAAUUCAGUGGAAGGGAAGAAAAAAAAAAUAAAACAGCCUGAAAAUCAGUCAGAACAGUUACUGGAGGUUAUUGUAGCAGCUAUGGUUGGUUGACUGAAUUUUUCAUGUUUGAACCAGUUUUCAUAUUUUGUAGGCACAGUCUUGGCCAUUUGGGGAAAUAAGCUUAAAUAUACAAAAGUGACACUUUAAAAUCAAUUUCUUCAUGUAUGAUCAUGGUUACUGAUGCCUUGUAGUACAUACCAUUUUAAGAAGAAAUAGCUAUUUACUGUUUACAUGUAUUAUUGAAUACAUAUGCUGCAUAUUUGUUAUAUGUACACAGAAUAGGAAAGUGACCAAAGUAUCUAAAAAGAUCUGCAGAACUAUGUAUUAUCAAUUAGUUUGUUAGUAGUGUUAAGUGAUACAUUAGCCUGUAUUUUGAGACCCUUUUAAAUCUUUAUAAGGAAUUUACAUGUUGUAAAAUUCACCUAUCUGAUUCAGUGAUUUUAAGCAAUUUUAGAGUAGUGCAGGCAUCACUACUAGUUCCAGAUCUAGUUCCACGUCUAGUUCCAAAACAUUCUUACUGCCCUACAAGAGCCCUUGUACCCAUUGGCAAUCAGUUCAGUCUAUCCAUAGUCCCUAUUCCCAG